CAAGCCUACGGGGGGCAGCAGUGGGGAAUAUUGCGCAAUGGGCGAAAGCCUGACGCAGCGACGCCGCGCGAGGGAUGAAGGUCUUCGGAUCGUAAACCUCUGUCAGCAGGGAAGAACGGUCACUGUGCUAAUCAUCCGUGAAUUGACGGUACCUGCAAAGGAAGCACCGGCUAACUCCGUGCCAGCAGCCGCGGUAAUACGGAGGGUGCGAGCGUUAUUCGGAAUUACUGGGCGUAAAGCGCUCGCAGGCGGUAUGUCAGGUCAAGGGUGAAAUCCCCGCGCUCAACG
rnacentral:rRNA from 1 species